GUUUGAGUAGCUUAGUGGUUAAGGGUUCGCUUUAACGUAGCAGAAGCAGGUUGCACCUUCUCUCAAAGA
rnacentral:tRNA from 1 species